rnacentral:rRNA from 1 species
AUUGAACGCUGGCGGCAUGCCUUACACAUGCAAGUCGAACGGCAGCGGACCUUCGGGUGCCGGCGAGUGGCGAACGGGUGAGUAAAGUAUCGGAACGUACCUUUCAGUGGGGGAUAACGUAGCGAAAGUUACGCUAAUACCGCAUAUUCUGUGAGCAGGAAAGCAGGGGAUCUUCGGACCUUGUGCUUCCGGAGCGGCCGAUGUCAGAUUAGCCAGUCGGUGGGGUAAAGGCCUACCAAGGCGACGAUCUGGAGCGGGUCUGAGAGGAUGAUCCGCCACACUGGAACGGAGACACGGUCCAGACUCCUACUGGAGGCAGCAGUGGGGAAUUUUGGACAAUGGGCGCAAGCCUGAUCCAGCCAUGCCGCGUGAGUGAAGAAGGCCUUCGGGUUGUAAAGCUCUUUCGGCCGGGAAGAAAUCGCGUGAGUUAAUACCUUGCGUGGAUGACGGUACCGGAAUAAGAAGCACCGGCUAACUACGUGCCAGCCGCCGCGGUAA